UGAGUAACCUGCCCUUCACUCUGGGAUAACUCCGGGAAACCGGGGCUAAUACUGGAUAUGACUCGAACAGGCAUCUGUUUCGGGUGGAAAGAUUUAUUGGUGGAGGAUGGACUCGCGGCCUAUCAGCUAGUUGGUGUGGGUAACGGCCCACCAAGGCGACGACGGGUAGCCGGCCUGAGAGGGUGACCGGCCACACUGGGACUGAGACACGGCCCAGACUCCUACGGGAGGCA
rnacentral:rRNA from 1 species